GGAGGCGUGGCCGAGCGGACGAAGGCAGCGGUCUUGAAAACCGCCGGGCACUUCGUGUGUCCCGUGGGUUCGAAUCCCACCGCCUCCGCCG
rnacentral:tRNA from 1 species